rnacentral:ncRNA from 1 species
AUUUUAAGCUUUCAUGGUAGUCCAUGUAAAAUAUUAAUCUUCAUUACUAUAUAAAUUUCCAACAGUGACAGGAAAAUCUAGCUCACGUAUGCAUUUCCACCAACAUUCAUCCUAUCAACUUUCGAUGGUAGGAUAGUGGCCUAACAUGGUGAUGGGUGACGGAGAAUUAAGGUUUGAUUUCGGAGAGGGAGCCUGAGAAACGGCUACCACAUCCAAGGAAGGUAACAGGUGCGCAAAUUAUCCAAUCCUGACACGGGAAGGUAGUGACAAUAAAUAGCAAUAUCGGGCUCGAUCAAGUCUCGUAAUGGGAAUGAGUACAAUCUAAAUCUCUUAUCAAGAUCCAUUGGAGGACAAGUCCAGUGCCAGCAGUCGUGGUAAUUCCAGCUCCAAUAACGUAUAU